ACACGCUGGCGGCGUGCCUAAUACAUGCAAGUCGAACGGUCUUUCUAUGGAAGCUUGCUUCCACUGAGAAGAUAGUGGCGAACGGGUGAGUAACACGUGGGUAACCUGCCCAUAAGAGGGGGAUAACAUCCGGAAACGGGUGCUAAUACCGCAUAGUUUUCUUGAUCGCAUGAUUGAGAAAGGAAAGACGGCCUUUGUGCUGUCGCUUAUGGAUGGACCCGCGGCGUAUUAGUUAGUUGGUGAGGUAACGGCUCACCAAGACGAUGAUACGUAGCCGACCUGAGAGGGUGAUCGGCCACAUUGGGACUGAGACACGGCCCAAACUCCUACGGGAGGCAGCAGUAGGGAAUCUUCCGCAAUGGACGAAAGUCUGACGGAGCAACGCCGCGUGAGUGAAGAAGGUUUUUCCGGAUCGUAAAACUCUGUUGUCAGAGAAGAACAAGUUGGAGAGUAACUGCUCCAGCCUUGACGGUAUCUGACCAGAAAGCCACGGCUAACUACGUGCCAGCAGCCGC
rnacentral:rRNA from 1 species